UUGCUUUGCCUCUCCAACUCCUUGAUCGGCGACGGCGGCGGCGAGCUGAGCGAGACUGGGGUGCGGCGAGCUGGAGGUGGGCGGCGCAGGUGGUAUGGAAGGCUAGGGUAUUAUUGCGUGAGAGAUCGUACGGUCACUACCAUGUGGGGUCCAGUGGGUUGAUGCCACACCCACAGCGUUGGCGGACAUGCCAGAGGCAUCUUCUUUAAAGCAAGACGCAUAUGAGGAGCAUGCGGCCAAAGACGGGAAAUCAUAAAUGUGUGUGUCAGUCGUCGUGUGGGCUCCUAGCUUACUCUGUAUGACUGGUGGGACCCGUGUGUUGUUCGGAGGGCGUUCAUUAGAAGGCAAGUGCCGUGUACUCGCAGACCAUCGAUGAAAUGGAAUGAACUCUCUCCCCAAGUCUUCUUCCUCGUCUAGUUGUCUGUCUCCUCCCAAUUUCUCUCACCGAAUUUCAUCACCUACCUUUGCCGUCGGUUCCGACGACCGCUCGUCGGCGUCGGGACAUGACAAAUUGUAUUAGAGCCUUGCCCGUCGGUCCUGAUUUUGCUGCAUAAUCUCUAUUUUCCUCCCAUAAAUCCCACGAGGGAAGGUUGCGAGUUACUUCGGCGACGAGCUGUAAAUCUGUUACCUAGGGUUCGGUGGAUUUAAUUUGGAACUUGGUGGAUUUCUCUGAGAAAGGUAGGACACCAAGUUCGGCAAGCGGUAGGAGCGAUGGAGGAGUUCAAGAAGACAUCGGUCCAGCGCUUGGAGCGGAUCGAGCUCAAGGGCGGUGGGGUUGAUGAUGUGAAUGAGCUACAACUCGACCAAUUGGACCAGAAGUUUGCAGAUCAGGUGAAGAGGAUGGAUCAAGUGCAGAUGAAGGUCGAUCUAUCCAUUACCUCACUGCGGUUCCAACCAUGGGUGAUGGGAUCUCGACUUUCGACUACCUCGGUGCCGCUUCAUAUGGGCCCUGUGCCGCAGGUGCCAUAGCAUAGGGCUAUGUUUUUGUUUUGUAAAGCAAGGACUGCUUUGGAGUUUGGCCUUCUCUGCUUGAUGGUAGAGAAAAGCACAGGACAUAUGCUGGAAAGAGAAAAGGAAUUGCACCUCCAUCACGGCAAGAAGAUGCUAAAGGAAAGGGUUAAUUGGAUUGGGACCAUUAUAAUUUGUCAAAGUUAGAAAUAUACCACUACAAUUCUUCAUAUUAGAGCUACUAGAACUGACAGCAAGAGCUUCCGCGCGUCAGAACCAUAGUCACAAAGUUCCUGGGUCGACCGGGUCGAGGAACGGGGUCGAGAGUCGAGGGUCGCCACUUUAUAAAAUUGUGGUAUGAAGGGGGUAUACCUCUGUGGAACGAUAAAUUAUUAUGUGGAGCGUGACCCUAAUUCAUCCGGGUCGA